CACAACAUAAUUUAUUAAUAAAAUAGCCUUGUCACCGAGGUUGCAACAUCAAACCAACAAAGAAACCCACACCAAACGAAGUGUAUAUCACACAAGACGCAAUAUGACAAUGACGAGACGAGGUCGCAUCGGAUAUAUAAACCGAUGCUAUGCACACAUAGAGCGUGGACUUGUAGUCACAUCGCCUUUUAUUCUUCACAAAAGCUUCCAAAGCUUUUCAUAACAUUACAUUAUUAUUAAAUUAUACAGUAACAGUAACAGGCAGAAGACUUCUGGACAAGUCUCUCACUUAACGACGGAAGCUUCUAACCUGACGUGGCGGGUCAGUCACGUUAUCGUUAAGCUUGACACCUGUGUAGACGGCUGCUCCAGAUAUAGCACCAAGUGUAGGAGCUACCAGAUAAACCCAAAGUAACCUAUAGUUUCCUGAUGCAAGGGCUGGCCCUAGAGUCCUAACGGGAUUCAUAGAUGCACCAGUCGAUGGCCUAUAAAAUUUUCAAAUGUUUUAGAAACAUUAGGUAAGUUACAAUGGUUCUGGAAAAUAUGAAGCUUAAAUUCCUUUGAUAGACUUACCCUGCGACAAGAAUGUUGAGCAUGACAGUGGCUCCAACAGCUAUACCGGCCAAUUCUCCAACCUACGCAUCAAACCCCAAUCAAGAAAAGAGAAUAUAAUUAUAACUAGCUACUUAAAUGACGAUCACUGGCUAAUCUAAAUAGGCAUAUAACGAUUUUUAUUCUACUUCUGUUAACGAUUACGUACGUUUACAAGUUCUAAUUAAACUUGAACGACUAACAUGGCUCCGGUAAUAAUAUUUUCCUACAAAGUUUUCUAGGAUGUUUUAGAAAUCGGACAAAUAUUUUUUUUUAAAUCAGAUCAUUUUUUGUUUUCUUUAAAUGUGAUGUUUUACAACAUAAAUAUAAGUUAGAUACAAGAUGAAAAUUGGCAGCUAAUGGUUAGAGACAGUCUCCUAUUAUAAUAGUUUUUCUUAUAUAACCACGACUUUGAAUGUUUUUAGUAAUAGUGAAGAAACCGCUAAGCGGUGAGCAAUUAAUGACCCAACACAACAUAUAAAACGUUCAAUCAGAGGCCUAAAUAGUAUAUAGGAUAUAAUCGUUUACAAAUUAAUAUACUAUAUUGAAUAUAAAAUAUCAUAAUUUGUAAAUUUAAAUUUAUAAUAUUUAAUCAUAAUUAAAAUUUAUAACAUAAUAUUAAAUGCUAUAAUUGUAAAAUAAUAAAUUUAUAAUGUUAUAAUAGUAUUCUAAUUUUCAGAAGGUUUAAACAUUGUUUUCAAUUAAGUAGCGUUUAGGAGCGGGUGCUUAAAACACUUUUUACAACACUGGUUUUUAGAAAAAAGAUUUUGGAAUUUGAAUUCUUGUAGUCAAAAACCAACAUUAGUAAGAAAAGAGUAACAGAUAUAUUCCUUCUUUCUUUUAAACCGAAAAUGCAGUUGUAUAUAAUAUGCUGACCAUACAGGAAGAGAAAGAGAGACUUACGGCACGAGUGUCGGUGGCAACGGCAGUAACAACAAAGAGGAGAAUGAAACUGAUGAUAAACUCAAGAGCAAAGGCUUGUCCAACACUAACAGACGGAACAGUCACACCUCCCGACAUGAAAGGAUGGAAAACUGCUUUGAGUGCGAAUGAAGCGCAUACGGAAGCUGAGACUUGCGCUGCUAUGUAAGCAGGUACGUGGGCCCAAGGAAAGUGUCGUAGAGCUGCGAAUGCUAUAGUCAGUGAUGGAUUUAAGUGAGCCCCUGAUAUGUGACCGGUUGAGAGAAUUAUGAUCAUCACUGCGAGUCCUGCGCAUGCCGCGUUGCCGAUUAGGGUUUCAGCUCCGUCGUAUUUCUGGUUCACGAUUGGACCGGCUGUCGCGGUGAAUAUCAAGAUGAAUGUUCCCACGAACUCAGCUCCAAGCUGCAUCACACACACGGAUACAAGUUAGCCAUUAUCAAGUGAGUAGAGGAAACAGAGGUGAGACCGUUAGAGCGAUAGAUCAUAUAUGUUUCUUGUGUAAUAUGAAAACUAUGUAUAUACUCCAGUGAAGUUGAUACAAAGUAAUUAUAUUUCUAUCUGAGGGAUCGAAGUUUAUGUCAAAGAAGAGUCACAUACAUUAUCAUGUCUUUUUUUUAAUAUCUAAACUGCUACAAACUAGUUACCAACUCAACCCAAACUGGUGGUAAAUUUCUAACAUAGUACACUGCAGAAGAAGAACAUCGAACACCCUAUGCUAAUCAUCUUAGUAGCCAGAUUUUCUAGUUUCAGCAAAGUAUCACAAUCUAUUGAACAGGGAACUUUUGAUAUAAAGUUAGAAAUAAUUUUACUAAUAUAUAAACAAUAUAAAUCAAUCUAAUUAUUGUCAAUAAGUUUAAAUAAAAAAUUAUAUAAUUUAAUAUAAUUUGAAUCUAAUUAAUUUGAUUCACAAUUAUGUCUAAUCCAAUCUAUAACAAUUCGACCCAAAAAAUCACAUUAACAUAUGUCCAAUAUUGCAAAAUUAGUGGUCAUUUCAACAAAAUCUCAAAUAAUGGCCAAUUUUUCCCUUUUUAAUCUCAACUGGUAUUAAUUAUCUUUCAAAAAAAAAUCUGAUAUUUAAUUAUUUAUUAACUGACAUAAUACAGUCAACGGUUACUAUUAUUACGUGUGAGCUGUCCAUAAUAUUCUGCCCUCUUGGACCAGCACCCAAUCAAGACAUUAACCAUAGAUUAUGUUCCCAAAAAAAAAUAUAUUAUUAUCAGAGAAUUUUCAAUGUAAAUUUUUCUCUCCAAAAUAUAGUAAAGUAGAAUAUGUAUUAAAAAUGCUCUAACAAUAUACUAUUUCUUACUACAUUAAAGUAAUGAAUAUACAAAAAAAUAGAUUAUUCUAUCUAUGAGGUAAAACACAUUAUAGAAAGAAAAAUAGAAUAGAGUUAGAGCAUUUUUACUUAAUAUUCUAUUUUACUCAAUUUUGGAGAAAAAAUAAAAUAGGGUAAGAAAUCCCUUUAGACAAAUGAUGAGACUGAUAGUAAUAUAAUUGGAGUAACUUAGAGUAAGCACGAAAGAAAAUAAAGAAAAAGAAUUAAUUGUUUGUACUGUUAUUCUAAUUUACGCUACUUUCUAGAAUAACAAAGAUGAAAAAUAUAGAAAAUAUGAAAGAAAGAUUUCAUUUUCCAGCGCGGAGAGAGAGAAAAUAUGUUUACCACUUUCAUCCUCAUUGGCUCUAUGUAAACUGAACUGAAAGUAAACAUUUUUACUCUGCUAUUUGUUACUCUAAUUGUGCUAUAUAGUCCUACUAAAAACCUUGCUCAUAGAAAAUAUUGGUUAAUGAUGAAAAAGGAGCAGUGAUUUAAGUGCAAGUUCCACUGACAAAUAAGUAAGCUAUUUUCUCUUUAGCUGAUACCAUCCGAACAAAACCCUAACGCGUCCGUGAUUUUUCUUGACGCCGGUGGCCUUGGCCGGUGCCGGAAGCUACUCAUUUCUCUCUCUUAAUCUCGUUUUUCUUUUGUCUUCUCGCUGCUUCCCACUCUGCCUGGUGAUACGCAUGUGGUUCUGGAAUUUCAACGGAGGCCUCUGGCGGUUUAAGAGACAGUUCAUUCCGGGUAGUGGGAUGAUCUUGUUCUCAGAGUAGUGGUAAAUACAAUAUCGAAUUGAUUGAGGUAUCAUAAAAUCCUUCUAAAGUGUUCCUAGGUGACACUAGAUCCCGAUAUUGUAUUUGGGGUAAAAUCUUGUAAUGUUGUAAUCUCAUUACCACUAUUUGGUAAAUGAAAUAUUGAAAUUGAGUUAAAAAAGAAAUGCAAGUUCCAUUCCUUGGCCGCUUCCGUCAUGGGCAGACAAUAAAACGCUCGACCUAACAGAACUACGUAACAUAUUUUUUGGUAUUUUUCUAUUUAAAACGAAAAUGUAACAUAUAAUUAAAAAAUCUAAAUUGAUGUAUAUAACUGAUUAGUAUCCGUCAUUAAACAAAACCACUACUGCCAAUACUUUUUGUGACCGCUUUUAUUUUCGUAGAAUGUAAGAAUCCAAUUAUAUUUUGAAAAAUUGUCAUUACAAUCACCAACUUUUAAAUUUGGUUGAAAAAAAUAUAAAAUUUUCUUUGAAUCAUUUAAAGCACCAACUUAACUUGAAUAGCCACUUUGAAACCUCAAUUUAAUUUGCUUAAAAAUUAAAGACGACGUUAAUUCGGGUAACGGAAUGAUUUGACAAAGUUAAUCGCCGUCUCUAAUCUCUGUUAAGUCCAAACGAAGUUGUUUUGAAUUUUUUUAAAAAAAAUUGUAUCUGAAAAAAAUCAAAUCCAUGACUGAAGCUACACUUAUUGUAAACCCGAACCACUAAACCACUUACAAUUUUGUUAACUUGAAGAAAUACUAAUAGAUAUUAUUAUUAAACCUCCGAAUCUGGAGAGGCAAGUUUCAUGUGUUUGAAUUUGAGGGAUUUAGGUUGGUAGAAGACUUACCCUGUACAAUCAAGUAACGUAUCCAGUACAAUCAAGUACAAAAACAAGUCAAUAUUUACGAUAAUUGUACAGGACAAGGUAAGUAUUGGGUAUGCCAAAAUUAUCAAGUAUCCGGUUUGUACCCAUGCUUAAUAUGCUAUGCCGUCCAGUGAAGACUACUAAGUUUACUCUUUUUUUAGCAGGGCCAGCUUAGAUAAAGGGUAAGCCGUGCUAUCUCUCCAGACUCAAUCCUUUGCCCUCUAUUUCUUAAUAGAUAAGAUUCUGAUUUUUUUUUUAAAAAUACAUUUAUUUUUAAUAAGAAAAUAGAUCCAAUUUCUUUUAUAUGAAAGUAUUUUUUUAUUUUUAUAAAUUUAUUUUUAAAAAUACUUUUAAUAUUUUUUUAAACAUAUCUAUCAAAUUUUUUUUUUUAAAAUAAUAGUUGAAAAUUAAUUUUUUUUGUUCCAGGACCCAUAAAACCAUUGAAUCGGUUCUGUUCGUGAGUUUUCCCACGUAAAAACAAUACUGUAGCAUAUAUAAUUAUAGAAUCCAUAAAUUGAAAUCUGACGGGAGUCGGCAUCCACUGAAUAAUUUAAUGACUUGGACUUAUACAAUUAUUUAUCUUUAUUUUUAAAUAAUUUUAAUUUAUCUGUUUUUACAUUGCAUGUUUUAUUUAAUUUUCGGUUGCGACUACUUGUUCGUGUCGUGUUAUAGUCUCCUCGAAAUGUGACGUAAACCUGUAUGAUCUUUUCAAUAUAAAUAAUAGGUUAAAAGGAUAAAUAACUAUCAUCUUUUGGUAUUUUAAUUUUCAGAGCUUACAAAAACUAUUCAAACAUAGAUUUGUAAUGAGUUAAUAAUGUCUUGAUCUCAUUAUCUUUUACCAAAUGACCUAAUUAUUCAUUUUUUUCACAUCAGCUAUUCCAACGGUUUCACAUAAUUGGAACAAAAUAUUUGGAUAUAUAUUUUCGUUAGAAAAAAAAAAGAGAGAUCACGUACCUUGCGAGUAAGGGAGACACCAGGAGAGGGAAAAUCGGCGAAGCACGUGUCGUGUUGACCCCAACGGUUUCCCAUCACCGGCAAGCAUUUGCAUGGAGGUAUCGGUUUCCGAUGAUCGAACGACAUUGAAUCAACUCUCAUCCCCGUGAUCAACGGUCCUCCCGGCGUUCCUGGCGUCGGCGGAGCCGUCACCGCCACCGCACCCAUUUCAGCCUCCGGCGGAGACAUCCUAAUCUUUUCGGGUAUUUUUUGUAUUUUGUUUUGAAGAAAAUACUUCUUUUAUUUUGUUUUUUUGGUAGGAGGGAGAUAAAUUUGAAGAGACGAAAUUUACAUGAUUUGAGGUUUUUUUAAAUUUGGGUUUACACUUGUACUUCAAACUUUGCCAGGACUAGUUUCACCAAACAGAAAUUAAAACCAGGGACGCCAAUGAAUCAAACUUAUCUACCGAUUAAAAUUUUCUUUUUGUUUUGAAGGAGAAGAAAAGGGAUCUGGGACGUUAAUUUACAUGCUUGUAAGGAUUUUUAUGAAGCUGUUACUACGUAAGAAGAAAAAUAUGAACGAAGAUAGCCACCUCAAAAAACCAAAUUCAGAAACCGAAUCAUAUAAAAAGCAAAGACGACACACAUAUGGAUGCGUAAGUUAGCACUGAACAAAGACUAAUUCUCGAAUCUGUGGUUCUGAAAGAAAAGAAAGAUAGAGAGAUGUAUGAAAGGUUUGGUUAAUGCUCGAGCUUAAGUUAUAUUUAUAUGUGUGUGUGUUUAUAUAGAAAAGAGAUUGUUAUGCAUUGAACCCAAAAAGAUCAAUAAUAAAAAGUCAACUCCAAUAACAGUUCAUUACUAACGUCCUUUAUAAAGAUAUCUGCUAGAGUCACCGGUGCCUUUGUCACCGGCAUCUUCGUUACCGUUCGAUCUAAGCAACAUAUCUGUAUGUGAUUCUUACGAACCCCACAUGGCCGUGACGGUAUCACUGAUCAUUUGCCACCCCACAAUCCUCCAAUAAUUGAAUAGAAAAUUGUUCUUAAGUCUGGGAAAAUCUAAAAACCAAAAUCCAAAACCCAAAAUCUAAAAACCAAAAACUAAAAUUUAGGGAUUUAGAUUCUUAUAAAUUAAGGGAAACAGUGAUCAAAUAAUUUUUUUUAAUGAGAAAAUGGUAUUGUAUUUUAUUUUUUAAAGCUUUGUGCCAAAUGUCGAAUUCUGAUUAGUUUGCACUUUAUUAUAUAAAAGAUUAUCUUUCUAAGAUAAUAUUUAACUUCAUCUAACAUUUGAAUGAAUACGAACAUGCCUCUAAUUCCAAAAAGAUUCUUAGUUUUCAUUCACGAAAUGCGUCUAGGCCUAUACUCCACAAAGUAUCGACAAAAAAAAAUUGUUCAAUCAAUGAUGUAACUAUAUUUUGAAAAAAAAAUUACACAACAUAAUUUAUUAAUAAAACAUCCUUAUCACCAAGGUACAUACAACAUCAAACCAACAAAGAAACCCACACCAAACGAAGUGUAUUAUCACACAAGACACAAUUUGACAAUGACGAGACGAGGUCGCAUCGGAUUUAUAAACCGAUGCUAUGCACACAUAGAGCGUGGACUUGUAGUCACAUCGCCUUUUAUUCUUCACAAAAGCUUCCAAAGCUUUUCAUAACAUUACAUUAUUAUUAAAUUAU
rnacentral:lncRNA from 1 species